rnacentral:rRNA from 1 species
CCUACGGGAGGCAGCAGUGGGGAAUAUUGGACAAUGGGCGAAAGCCUGAUCCAGCCAUGCCGCGUGAGUGAUGAAGGCCCUAGGGUUGUAAAGCUCUUUCACCGGUGAAGAUAAUGACGGUAACCGGAGAAGAAGCCCCGGCUAACUUCGUGCCAGCAGCCGCGGUAAUACGAAGGGGGCUAGCGUUGUUCGGAAUUACUGGGCGUAAAGCGCACGUAGGCGGACUAUUAAGUCAGGGGUGAAAUCCUGGAGCUCAACUCCAGAACUGCCUUUGAUACUGAUGGUCUCGAGUCCGGAAGAGGUGAGUGGAAUUCCGAGUGUAGAGGUGAAAUUCGUAGAUAUUCGGAGGAACACCAGUGGCGAAGGCGGCUCACUGGUCCGGUACUGACGCUGAGGUGCGAAAGCGUGGGGAGCAAACAGGAUUAGAUACCCCUGUAGUC